rnacentral:lncRNA from 1 species
GUUGCCUCCUAGUAACGCUUGUUUAACCUCACGAGCCUGACCCAAACCUGGUUAGCACUUGUCAGUAAGUGCACUUCCUUCCACCACCCAUCAGUAGUGUACCUUCCGGAUAUCCUUCAGUAGAUACCUAUAUCUUCUAACAUCCCCCAGUAGAUGCUACCCCAGUAGCACUCAUCAGUAAAUGCUAAUCUUUCUAAUCUUCAUUGGCAUCCAUCAGUAAAUGUCAUAUCACCUAACAUCCAUCAGUAGAUGUUGUAGAAGCAUCCAUCAGUAGAUGUUAUCAUCACUGCCAUCAGAAGCAACGCAUAACCCAAAAAAAAAAAAUAAUAAAACCAAAUCAAAUAAAAUCAAAUAAAAUAAAAAAAAUCAAAUAA